AACGAAUGCUGGCGGCAUGCCUAACACAUGCAAGUCGAACGAAGCCUUCGGGCUUAGUGGCGCACGGGUGCGUAACGCGUGGGAAUCUGCCCUUGGGUUCGGAAUAACAGUUAGAAAUGACUGCUAAUAACGGACGAUGUCUUCGGACCAAAGAUUUAUCGCACAAGGAUGAGCCCGCGUAGGAUUAGGUAGUUGGUGGGGUAAUGGCCCACCAAGCCGACGAUCCUUAGCUGGUCCGAGAGGAUGAUCAGCCACACUGGGACUGAGACACGGCCCAGACUCCUACGGGAGGCAGCAGUGGGGAAUAUUGGACAAUGGGCGAAAGCCUGAUCCAGCAAUGCCGCGUGAGUGAUGAAGGCCUUAGGGUUGUAAAGCUCUUUUACCAGGGAUGAUAAUGACAGUACCUGGAGAAUAAGCUCCGGCUAACUCCGUGCCAGCCGCCGCCGUAACAC
rnacentral:rRNA from 1 species